GGCGCAGGCGCCGGGUCCCGCUGCGACGCCGGCGGCGGGCGCCACGGGGCCGCCGAACGUGACGGCGGUCCUGGAGAAGGGAGGGCAGUACACGACGUUCAUCCGGCUGAUGAAGGAGACGCAGCAGGACACGCAGCUGAACAGCCAGCUGAACAACUCCUUCAACGGCAACGGCUACACCGUGUUCGCGCCUACCGACAACGCCUUCAACAAC
rnacentral:misc_RNA from 1 species